rnacentral:rRNA from 1 species
GAAAGUAAACAAGGGCGCAUGGAGGAUGCCUAGGCUCUCGGAGGCGAAGAAGGACGUGAUAAGCUGCGAAAAGUUACGGUAAGGCGCAAAUAGCCCUAGACCCGUAAAUAUCCGAAUGGGGCAACCCGGCCAGCAAUGGCCAUACCGCCAAGCGGUAAGCCAACGCGGGGAACUGAAACAUCUAAGUACCCGCAGGAAAAGAAAAUAACAAUGAUUCCGCCAGUAGUGGCGAGCGAACGCGGAACAGCCCAAACCACCCGUGUUACGGCACGAGUGGGGUAGAAGGAUCCACGCUACGGCAAGAAAUAAGUUAGCAGAAUACGAUGGAAAUCGUAGCCAGAGACGGUGACAGCCCGGUACGCGAAAACGGACAGAAGCCCAGUGGACACCUGAGUAACCCAGGACACGAGAAAUCCGGGGCGAAUCAGCGGGGCCCAUCCCGUAAGGCUAAAUACUCCCGAGAGACCGAUAGCGAACCAGUACUGUGAAGGAAAGGUGAAAAGAACCUCGAACAGAGGAGUGAAACAGACCCUGAAACCAUGCGCCUACAAGCGGUCGGAGCAUGUUAAAAUGUGACGGCGUGCCUUUUGCAUAAUGAACCUACGAGUUACUCUCGCUGGCAAGGUUAAGCGAUUCAGUCGCGCAGCCGAAGCGAAAGCAAGUCCGAACAAGGCGUACAGUCAGCGGGAGUAGACGCGAAACCAAGUGAUCUACCCUUGGUCAGGUUGAAGGUUGGGUAACACCAACUGGAGGACCGCACCGAUAAGCGUUGAAAAGCUUACGGAUGAACUGAGGGUAGGAGUGAAAGGCCAAUCAAACUUGGAGAUAGCUCGUACUCCCCGAAAUGCAUUUAGGUGCAGCCUCGAAGUAAAGUGAUAGAGGUAGAGCGACUGAUAAGAUGCGAGGGCUUCACCGCCUAUCAAGUCUUGACAAACUCCGAAUACUAUCACUUGAUCUUCGGGAGUGAGGGCAUGGGUGCUAAGGUCCAUGUCCGAAAGAGGAACAACUCAGACCACCAGCUAAGGUCCCGAAAUAAGGGCUAAGUUGAAUAAACGAAGUAAAACUGCAAAGACAGCUAGGAUGUUGGCUUGGAAGCAGCCAUUCAUUUAAAGAGUGCGUAACAGCUCACUAGUCGAGGAGUUUUGCAUGGAUAAUAAUCGGGCAUAAGCCCUUUACCGAAGCUGUGGAUGUCGUAAGACAUGGUAGGGGAGCAUUCCGGCGGCGACGAAGGCCGUCCUCGAGGACGACUGGAGCUUUCGGAAAAGCAAAUGUAGGUAUAAGUAACGAUAAAGGGGGCGUGAAACCCCCUCGCCAUAAGACUAAGGAUUCCUGAUCAACGCUAAUCGGAUCAGGGUAAGUCGGGCCCUAAGGCGCAGCCGAACGGCGUAGCCGAUGGAAGAAACGGUAAAGAUUCCGUUACUGGAUAUAGGAGCGAUGUGGAGACGGAGAAGUGACACACCCGCCUGCCGACGGAAGCGCAGGUUAAAGGAAGUAGGUAAACGCCGGGUAGGCAAAUCCGCCUGGCGUGCCGAAGCUGACAGUAUCGAGAGCCCCCGGGCAAUCGAAUAGCGGUGGUAAUCAGGCUCCCAAGAAAAUCCGCUAAGCAUAUUCUAUAUCCACCCGUACCCCAAACGGACACACGUAGUCGGGUAGAAUAUACCAAGGCGCUCGAAAGACUCACGGUUAAGGAACUAGGCAAAUUGACCCUGUAACCUCGGGAAAAAGGGUCCCCAGUAAGAUGGGGCGCAGAGAAUAGGUCCAGGCAACUGUUUAACAAAAACACAGGGCUGUGCAAAAUUUCAAGAUGAAGUAUACAGCCUGACACCUGCCCGGUGCCGGAAGGUUAAGAGGAGAGCUAAUCGCAAGAGAAGGCUUGAAUUGAAGCCCCGGUAAACGGCGGCCGUAACUAUAACGGUCCUAAGGUAGCGAAAUUCCUUGUCGGGU